AGCAGCAGCACGGUAAUACGUAGGGUGCGAGCGUUAAUCGGAAUUACUGGGCGUAAAGCGUGCGCAGGCGGUUUUGUAAGACAGGCGUGAAAUCCCCGGGCUCAACCUGGGAAUGGCGCUUGUGACUGCAAAGCUAGAGUGCGGCAGAGGGGGAUGGAAUUCCGCGUGUAGCAGUGAAAUGCGUAGAUAUGCGGAGGAACACCGAUGGCGAAGGCAAUCCCCUGGGCCUGCACUGACGCUCAUGCACGAAAGCGUGGGGAGCAAACAGGAUUAGAUACCCCCGUAGUCCCUGUCUCUUAUACA
rnacentral:rRNA from 1 species